UACGAAGGGGGCUAGCGUUGCUCGGAAUCAUUGGGCGUAAAGCGCGUGUAGGCGGCCAGAUAAGUCCGUUCUGAAAGCCCGGGGCUCAACCCCGGGGAGGCGGAUGGAUACUGUUUGGCUCGAGUCCGGAAGAGGCGAGUGGAACUGCGAGUGUAGCAGUGAAAUGCGUAGAGAUCGGGAGGAACAUCUGUGGCGAAGGCGGCCAUCUGGACCAGCACUGACACUGAGGCACGAAAGCGUGGGGAGCAAACAGG
rnacentral:rRNA from 1 species